UACGUAGGGCGCAAGCGUUGUCCGGAAUUAUUGGGCGUAAAGAGCUCGUAGGCGGCCUGUUGCGUCCGCUGUGAAAUCCCGGGGCUCAACCCCGGGCGUGCAGUGGAUACGGGCUGGCUGGAGGCAGGCAGGGGAGAACGGAAUUCCUGGUGUAGCGGUGAAAUGCGCAGAUAUCAGGAGGAACACCGGUGGCGAAGGCGGUUCUCUGGGCCUGUACUGACGCUGAUGCGCGAAAGCUAGGGGAGCAAACAGG
rnacentral:rRNA from 1 species